rnacentral:rRNA from 1 species
AUUGAACGCUGGCGGCAGGCCUAACACAUGCAAGUCGAGCGGAGAUGCGGACGGGGAAUUAAUGCCGAGGAAGCUGCCUGGUAGUGGGGUAUAACGUCCGGAGACGGAAGCUAAUACCGCAUACUAUCAGAUGACCCUAGGUCGGAUUAGCUAGUUGGUGGGGUAAAGGCCUACCAAGGCGACGAGCCGUAACUGGUCUGAGAGGAUGAUCAGUCACACUGGAACUGAGACACGGCCCAGACUCCUACGGGAGGCAGCAGUGGGGAAUAUUGGGCAAUGGGCGAAAGCCUGAUCGAGCCACGCCGCGUGUGUGAAGAAGGUUUUCGGAUCGUAAAGCACUUUAAGUAGAGAAGCGUUAUCUACAGAAUAAGCACCGGCUAACUUCGUGCCAGCAGCCGCGGUAAUUC